rnacentral:rRNA from 1 species
CCUACGGGUGGCUGCAGUGGGGAAUAUUGCACAAUGGGCGCAAGCCUGAUGCAGCCAUGCCGCGUGUGUGAAGAAGGCCUUCGGGUUGUAAAGCACUUUCAGCGGGGAGGAAGGCGGUGAGGUUAAUAACCUCAUCGAUUGACGUUACCCGCAGAAGAAGCACCGGCUAACUCCGUGCCAGCAGCCGCGGUAAUACGGAGGGUGCAAGCGUUAAUCGGAAUUACUGGGCGUAAAGCGCACGCAGGCGGUCUGUCAAGUCGGAUGUGAAAUCCACGGGCUCAACCUGGGAACUGCAUUCGAAACUGGCAGGCUAGAGUCUUGUAGAGGGGGGUAGAAUUCCAGGUGUAGCGGUGAAAUGCGUAGAGAUCUGGAGGAAUACCGGUGGCGAAGGCGGCCCCCUGGACAAAGACUGACGCUCAGGUGCGAAAGCGUGGGGAGCAAACAGGAUUAGAUACCCGAGUAGUC